rnacentral:rRNA from 1 species
GCAAGUCGAACGGNNUGCAANNCAACUUCGCGUCUGUGCNNGUCAAGCUGGCGGAACGGGUGAGUAAUGCCUCGGAANGUGCCCGGUUGUGGGGGAUAACUACUCGAAAGAUUCGCUAAUACCGCAUACGACCUACGGGAGAAAGCGGGGGACCUUCGGGCCUCGCGCUGUCAGANCAGCCUAUGUCGGAUUAGCUAGUUGGUGAGGUAAUGGCUCACCAAGGCGACGAUCCGUAACUGGUCUGAGAGGACGAUCAGUCACACUGGAACUGAGACACGGUCCAGACUCCUACGGGAGGCAGCAGUGGGGAAUAUUGGACAAUGGGCGCAAGCCUGAUCCAGCCAUGCCGCGUGUGUGAAGAAGGUCUUCGGAUUGUAAAGCACUUUAGUCUGGAAAGAAGGGUUGCUGAUUAAUACCUGGCGAUUAUGACGGUACCGAAAGAAUAAGCACCGGCUAACUAUGUGCCAGCAGCCGCGGUAAUACAUAGGGUGCGAGCGUUAAUCGGAAUUACUGGGCGUAAAGCGUGCGCAGGUGGUUUGGUAAGNNUGGAUGUGAAAUCCCCGGGCUUAACCUGGGAACUGCGCUUGUGACUGAAAAGCUAGAGUGUGUCAGAGGGUGGUGGAAUUCCCUGUGUAGCAGUGAAAUGCGUAGAUAUGUGAAGGAAUACCGAUGGCGAAGGCGACCACCUGGGAUGAGACUGACGCUGAUGUGCGAAAGCGUGGGGAGCAAACAGGAUUAGAUACCCUGGUAGUCCACGCCGUAAACGAUGUCAACUAGUUGUUGGGGAUUCNUGNCCUCUUAAUCGUACNNNUCACGCGUAAUUUACCGCCUGUGGAGUACACGCGCNAGAGUUAAANUCUAAAGUAAUUUAGCGGGACCCCGCAAAGGUGGAUGACGUGGAUUAUAUUNAGAACACCGAAAGAACCUUCCUACGCUUUAAUUCCAUGNNNNUUCAAGAAUCGUUUGGUGCCUUAAGGAAAAUGGAACAGGGCUGAUGGCUGCCU